CGCUCUCACCCGCGCGCCUGCAACCCGAGCCGCCGGCUGCCCUGCGCACGCGCGGAGCGGACCGUGACGCGAACGCGCCGGGCGCCCCCUCCCGCGGGACGCCAACACCUGCGCGCAGGCGCAGGAGAGCGGGCGGAGGGCGCGCGCCGACCGAGCCUCGCUAGAGCCGGGCGGGGAAGGAGAGCGCCCACCUGCUGGCUGGAGUGGGGAUAUUGAGAGCAGAUAGGCACUCGUACUGCUCACGUCUGUAUCUGCUUCUCUAAGCACAGUGUUCUGCAGGAAAGAACUAUGGUUGGAGUUGCUAGUGGCAAAGCAGAAGAGGGAGAAACUGUAUCCAAUCCCUUCCAAUUUUAUUCCAGUUCCUUAGAUCUACUCAUGUCGACACAGCACCUCCAGCCGAAGUCGAGGGGAGAAGGUUCUGAGUGUUUGAAGAGCUCUUCCAACACUAAUACUCCCUCUGAAAAUUAACAUAAACAUUGCUUAGGAGUCCUCAGAGAUGUCCUCCCCAAGGAUCGAAGGGCACCGCCCUCAGAACUCAGGGUUUGGGGCAAGGAUCCAGGCACGAUGGGGCCCAACGGCUGCCGCUGAGCGGAAGCCUCAGCUAUGUCCACACUUCUAAAGCUGGAAGAAGUCAUCACAGACAGGGUCUCGGAGAUCCAGGUCUGGCCGAGCAUCUGCCCCAAGAAUCACACUAUGGAAGAAUGGUCCCAAUGGGUCAAAUUAAGAUCCUUAAAGAAUCUGAACACUUGGUACUUCAAAACAGAUGUGAUAAACAGGAACAUGCUGAAGAGAUGGCUCAGCAGUUAAGAGCACUGGCU